rnacentral:pre_miRNA from 1 species
UUACUACUCCCUCCGUCCCCAAAAUCUUGUCUUAAAUUUAUCUAGAUAUGAAUGUAUGUAGUCAUGUUUUAGUAUUUACAUACAUCCAUUUUUAGACAAACGUAAGACAAGAAAUUUGGGACGGAGGUAGGACUUC